GGGUUGUGAGGUUAAGCGACUAAGCGUACACGGUGGAUGCCCUGGCAGUCAGAGGCGAUGAAGGACGUGCUAAUCUGCGAUAAGCGUCGGUAAGGUGAUAUGAACCGUUAUAACCGGCGAUUUCCGAAUGGGGAAACCCAGUGUGUUUCGACACACUAUCAUUAACUGAAUCCAUAGGUUAAUGAGGCGAACCGGGGGAACUGAAACAUCUAAGUACCCCGAGGAAAAGAAAUCAACCGAGAUUCCCCCAGUAGCGGCGAGCGAACGGGGAGCAGCCCAGAGCCUGAAUCAGUGUGUGUGUUAGUGGAAGCGUCUGGAAAGGCGCGCGAUACAGGGUGACAGCCCCGUACACAAAAAUGCACAUGCUGUGAGCUCGAUGAGUAGGGCGGGACACGUGGUAUCCUGUCUGAAUAUGGGGGGACCAUCCUCCAAGGCUAAAUACUCCUGACUGACCGAUAGUGAACCAGUACCGUGAGGGAAAGGCGAAAAGAACCCCGGCGAGGGGAGUGAAAAAGAACCUGAAACCGUGUACGUACAAGCAGUGGGAGCACGCUUAGGCGUGUGACUGCGUACCUUUUGUAUAAUGGGUCAGCGACUUAUAUUCUGUAGCAAGGUUAACCGAAUAGGGGAGCCGAAGGGAAACCGAGUCUUAACUGGGCGUUAAGUUGCAGGGUAUAGACCCGAAACCCGGUGAUCUAGCCAUGGGCAGGUUGAAGGUUGGGUAACACUAACUGGAGGACCGAACCGACUAAUGUUGAAAAAUUAGCGGAUGACUUGUGGCUGGGGGUGAAAGGCCAAUCAAACCGGGAGAUAGCUGGUUCUCCCCGAAAGCUAUUUAGGUAGCGCCUCGUGAAUUCAUCUCCGGGGGUAGAGCACUGUUUCGGCAAGGGGGUCAUCCCGACUUACCAACCCGAUGCAAACUGCGAAUACCGGAGAAUGUUAUCACGGGAGACACACGGCGGGUGCUAACGUCCGUCGUGAAGAGGGAAACAACCCAGACCGCCAGCUAAGGUCCCAAAGUCAUGGUUAAGUGGGAAACGAUGUGGGAAGGCCCAGACAGCCAGGAUGUUGGCUUAGAAGCAGCCAUCAUUUAAAGAAAGCGUAAUAGCUCACUGGUCGAGUCGGCCUGCGCGGAAGAUGUAACGGGGCUAAACCAUGCACCGAAGCUGCGGCAGCGACGCUUAUGCGUUGUUGGGUAGGGGAGCGUUCUGUAAGCCUGUGAAGGUGUGCUGUGAGGCAUGCUGGAGGUAUCAGAAGUGCGAAUGCUGACAUAAGUAACGAUAAAGCGGGUGAAAAGCCCGCUCGCCGGAAGACCAAGGGUUCCUGUCCAACGUUAAUCGGGGCAGGGUGAGUCGACCCCUAAGGCGAGGCCGAAAGGCGUAGUCGAUGGGAAACAGGUUAAUAUUCCUGUACUUGGUGUUACUGCGAAGGGGGGACGGAGAAGGCUAUGUUGGCCGGGCGACGGUUGUCCCGGUUUAAGCGUGUAGGCUGGUUUUCCAGGCAAAUCCGGAAAAUCAAGGCUGAGGCGUGAUGACGAGGCACUACGGUGCUGAAGCAACAAAUGCCCUGCUUCCAGGAAAAGCCUCUAAGCAUCAGGUAACAUCAAAUCGUACCCCAAACCGACACAGGUGGUCAGGUAGAGAAUACCAAGGCGCUUGAGAGAACUCGGGUGAAGGAACUAGGCAAAAUGGUGCCGUAACUUCGGGAGAAGGCACGCUGAUAUGUAGGUGAAGUCCCUUGCGGAUGGAGCUGAAAUCAGUCGAAGAUACCAGCUGGCUGCAACUGUUUAUUAAAAACACAGCACUGUGCAAACACGAAAGUGGACGUAUACGGUGUGACGCCUGCCCGGUGCCGGAAGGUUAAUUGAUGGGGUCAGCGCAAGCGAAGCUCUUGAUCGAAGCCCCGGUAAACGGCGGCCGUAACUAUAACGGUCCUAAGGUAGCGAAAUUCCUUGUCGGGUAAGUUCCGACCUGCACGAAUGGCGUAAUGAUGGCCAGGCUGUCUCCACCCGAGACUCAGUGAAAUUGAACUCGCUGUGAAGAUGCAGUGUACCCGCGGCAAGACGGAAAGACCCCGUGAACCUUUACUAUAGCUUGACACUGAACAUUGAGCCUUGAUGUGUAGGAUAGGUGGGAGGCUUUGAAGUGUGGACGCCAGUCUGCAUGGAGCCGACCUUGAAAUACCACCCUUUAAUGUUUGAUGUUCUAACGUUGACCCCUAAUCGGGGUUGCGGACAGUGUCUGGUGGGUAGUUUGACUGGGGCGGUCUCCUCCUAAAGAGUAACGGAGGAGCACGAAGGUUGGCUAAUCCUGGUCGGACAUCAGGAGGUUAGUGCAAUGGCAUAAGCCAGCUUGACUGCGAGCGUGACGGCGCGAGCAGGUGCGAAAGCAGGUCAUAGUGAUCCGGUGGUUCUGAAUGGAAGGGCCAUCGCUCAACGGAUAAAAGGUACUCCGGGGAUAACAGGCUGAUACCGCCCAAGAGUUCAUAUCGACGGCGGUGUUUGGCACCUCGAUGUCGGCUCAUCACAUCCUGGGGCUGAAGUAGGUCCCAAGGGUAUGGCUGUUCGCCAUUUAAAGUGGUACGCGAGCUGGGUUUAGAACGUCGUGAGACAGUUCGGUCCCUAUCUGCCGUGGGCGCUGGAGAACUGAGGGGGGCUGCUCCUAGUACGAGAGGACCGGAGUGGACGCAUCACUGGUGUUCGGGUUGUCAUGCCAAUGGCACUGCCCGGUAGCUAAAUGCGGAAGAGAUAAGUGCUGAAAGCAUCUAAGCACGAAACUUGCCCCGAGAUGAGUUCUCCCUGACUCCUUGAGAGUCCUGAAGGAACGUUGAAGACGACGACGUUGAUAGGCCGGGUGUGUAAGCGCAGCGAUGCGUUGAGCUAACCGGUACUAAUGAACCGUGAGGCUUAACCUUACAACGCCGAAGCUGUU
rnacentral:rRNA from 1 species